rnacentral:rRNA from 1 species
GGAUUAGAUACCCUGGUAGUCCACGCCGUAAACGAUGUCUACUAGCAGCUCGGUUCGUUAAGAACGGUUUUGCGCAGCUAACGCGUUAAGUAGACCGCCUGGGGAGUACGGCCGCAAGGUUAAAACUCAAAUGAAUUGACGGGGGCCCGCACAAGCGGUGGAGCAUGUGGUUUAAUUCGAUGCAACGCGAAGAACCUUACCAUCCCUUGACAUCCAGAGAACUUUUCAGAGAUGAAUUGGUGCCUUCGGGAACUCUGAGACAGGUGCUGCAUGGCUGUCGUCAGCUCGUGCCG